AACAAGGCGUACCUGCGGACCUGCGGAAGGAUCAUUAUAGGAAAACAGUGAUUUCCACAAGUUGCGGGGGGUUGGCGGGGGGAGGGGUGCAUACUCUGCACUUUUCCCUCUCUGGCUCUUUGCUUCUUCAAACAAAUUAUCGCAACUAGAAUAACUGGUUUGGUGGGGGGGGACCACAACACACACAGGGAAAAGUGUUUGCCUGAUAUCUGAGCUUCUUAUAUGAGGGGAUAGAAAAAA
rnacentral:misc_RNA from 1 species